rnacentral:rRNA from 1 species
CCUACGGGGGACAGCAGUGAGGAAUAUUGGUCAAUGGGCGGAAGCCUGAACCAGCCAAGUAGCGUGCAGGAUGACGGUCCUACGGGUUGUAAACUGCUUUUAUACGGGAAUAACGCGCCUUACGUGUACGGCUUUGCAUGUACCGUAUGAAUAAGGCCCGGCUAAUUCCGUGCCAGCAGCCGCGGUAAUACGGAAGGUCCGGGCGUUAUCCGGAUUUGUUGGGUUUAAAGGGAGCGUAGGCCGCAUGUCAAGCGUGCGGUGAAAUGUCCGGGCUCAACCCGGGCCUUGCAGCGCGAACUGGCGUGCUUGAGUCCGCGGAAAGUAGGCGGAAUGCGGGGUGUAGCGGUGAAAUGCAUAGAUAUGACGAAGAACCCCGAUUGCGAAGGCAGCUUGCUGCAGCGGAACUGACGCUGAGGCUCGAAAGCGCGGGUAUCGAACAGGAUUAGAUACCCUUGUAGUC